GCCUCCCGGCCUUCGUCAUUUCGGGGGCUGUCGACUGACCCAGCAGGCCAGCAUUUCUUCGUCUUCUCGUUCACGCAAUCACGCCCCCGCCAAACCCAAACCGACCGAAAGCGGAAAGCAAAUAGCAGACGGCAGACAACAGUCGAGGGGACACAGGAAGGCGCGAAGAAGACCGAGAUCCUCGCCCAACGCCAUCACGCCACUCCCCCAAUACUCAGGUGUCAGGACAGCGAGCAGGCACAAGCAGAUCUCACUCCACGUUGCUCCUUCCGCCCUUCCUCUCCGCCGCUCCCCGGAAGGAUCAUGGAGCGCGGGAUUCUUGGCUCCAGGGGCGCCGUCCAAAUCUUGGGGUCGAAGACCGGGGCCGCGAUGUCAUGUGGCAAAACAACCUCUACAAGUUUUACUUGUUCUACCAAACACGAGCUGAACUUGCAUGUGAAUGUUAAGCCGUUGCAAUUGGCAACAGAUGGAUCCUCUCGUUUGGCAUACAAAACUCCAGUGCUUAAAAAUCAGUGGAAUCUUUCUGCUAGUUCUUCCUCUGCAAAUGUGGUUACCACUUUUGAUGAUGACAAAGGUGUACCUUCCAGUUUUGCUGAAGAAAAGAUCGGAGUACUGUUAUUAAAUCUUGGUGGUCCAGAAACCCUAGACGAUGUUCAACCAUUCUUGUUCAACCUAUUUGCUGAUCCAGAUAUCAUUCGACUGCCUAGGCUCUUCAGGUUCCUUCAAAGACCACUGGCCAAACUUAUUUCUACUUUUAGAGCUCCUAAGAGUAAAGAAGGGUAUGCUUCAAUCGGUGGUGGGUCACCAUUGAGGAAAAUUACUGAUGAGCAGGCAAAUGCUUUGAAGAUUGCUCUGGAAAAGAAAAAAUUGAACGCAAAUAUAUAUGUUGGGAUGCGGUAUUGGUAUCCUUUCACAGAAGAAGCCAUUGAUCAGAUUAAGAAGGAUAAUAUUUCCAAGCUCGUUGUUCUUCCACUCUACCCUCAGUACUCCAUAUCAACAAGUGGGUCAAGCAUUCGUGUUCUCCAAAAUGUUGUCAAGGAAGAUUCAUAUUUUUCUGGCUUGCCAAUCUCCAUUAUCGAAUCAUGGUACCAACGUGAUGGCUAUGUGAAAUCAAUGGCUGACCUAAUUGAAAAAGAGCUAUCUGCCUUUUCCAAUCCUGAAGAGGUAAUGAUAUUCUUCAGUGCACAUGGUGUGCCACUUACCUAUGUUCAGGAUGCUGGAGAUCCUUACAGAGAUCAGAUGGAGGAUUGUAUUUCUUUGAUCAUGGGGGAGCUGAGAUCCAGAGGAAUCUUAAAUGGUCACACUUUGGCGUAUCAGAGUCGGGUGGGACCAGUUCAAUGGCUGAAGCCAUAUACUGAUGAAGUUUUAGUAGAACUUGGUCAGAACGGUGUGAAGAGCCUCCUGGCUGUUCCAGUAAGCUUCGUGAGCGAGCACAUUGAGACACUGGAAGAAAUAGACAUGGAGUACAAGGAGUUGGCUCUGGAAUCAGGCAUUGAGAACUGGGGCCGGGUCCCUGCUCUUGGAUGCACUUCGACUUUCAUCUCCGACCUUGCAGAUGCGGUUGUCGAAGCCCUCCCAUCUGCCUCGGCGCUGGGAACCAGAAAGCCUGAAGACACCGAUUCCAGCAUGGAUCUGAUGCAUUACCUGACCAAGAUGUUCUUCGGCUCAAUCUUGGCAUUUAUCCUGCUGUUGUCACCAAGACUGGUUUCUGCUUUCCGGAACACCAUGCUUUAGGUGGUUAGGUAGGUAAGCAAAAAGGGAAUGGUGUGAUAGGUAAUUCUUAAAAAUUUGAGAUUAAUAAUGGAAAAACUGGAGAGAGCUUGGUGAUAGUAACUAGAGAUCCUUUAGGCUUUGUUUGGGUACUCUAGUAUUGACCCUAAUCCGUGUGUUGAGAUAGAUUGAGGUGUAAAUUAGUUUAAGUUAUACCUCAAUUCAGCUCAGUACAUAUAGAUUGAGCUCAAUACUAGAAUACUCAAACUAGGCCUUAGUGCACGAGGUAGCAGCUUGUAAUUUGCUGUUUUUGAUAUUGUUCACAGGAAACAUUGGUCUCAUAAAUGAAUCUGUGAAAGCACAUAACGUUACAAAUCAAAGGUGAUGUAAUGUUGACCCUUGAGGGCUUUUUCGGUUUCAUCAAAUCUAUAUAGAUCGGAGGAAAUUAGGCAUAGGAAUAACCGGACAUGACUGAGGUGGUGUUUGGUUCUACAAUCUACGGCGGCAGCGAGCAACGGGAACGGAAUCAUUACCACGCCUUCUAAUUUAUUCUGUUUGAUCCACGCCUGGCAAUCGAAAGACAGCUUUGUUUUCCACGCGGACGGUAGCGUGAGCGUAAUCGGCGCGCUGGGCGGCCCUAUUUAUUCCCGUAAUUUUCCUAUUGAACAGUCGUCUAAAUCUAGACACGUUUGUUUAGGCGACGUGUGGUUCAACCAUUAUUUUUUUAAACUGAUAUUUCUCUA